UAAACAAACCGUACAAAAUUAUCCAUUUGCAAUCAUGUGUUUAAGUUGUAGAAAUAAGUAUACGGGUUUAAGAGAAAUUAAAGCAAUAAUAGUAUGCAAAAAUACUUAACAAACAAGUGCAUUGUUUAACUGAGGAAUAUACUCAAAAAAAUUAAUACGUAUUCUGCCUCCAAUUGCGCCAAAAAGAUCUCCCUUACACAAAACUUGAGAGAGACGAAGUUAAAGUUUAAGGGGUUAGGUGGGUUUCAGAGGUACAAAAAAGACAUUUUUACGAUUUUUUUAAUAUAAGCAAUAAAAUAUUUGAAAAACGUAAUAUGGCAUAUCAAAGGUAAAUAUUUGAACAAUUUCUCCUGAAAUUUUGAUAUAUGUAAAUAUGUUGAAAAUUCAGCCGCUAAGACCUCAUCUCCCUGGGUCUCUCACAAAAAGGGUGCUCACGCCGUGGACAGCAUAACUUAUUAUUGGUUCAUUUGAAUUACAAAACUAAACAUAUUCCGUUAAAACAUAUAUAAAUCUCGGUUUUGAACGAAAAAUAUAAAAAAAUAUUAAAAUUUUCCUGUUUUUCUCAGACUUUGAACAAAAAAUCUCAUUGUUUGGUUAAAUUUUCAGCAUUUACUGGUAAAAAAAUAUUUUGCAAUGAAAUAAAAAAAAAAUUUCAUUCAAAAACUAGAUAAUGUUAUUUUACAAUUGGAACUAAAUCGGUCCAUAACUUUUUGAGAAAUCGUGUCCACCGAUUUCAAAAACUCGGAUACGAGGAAAACGCGUUUAAAGACGGCGCACUUAACGUAGCUAGCCUUGAGCACAAAGGCUGUAUCUCCGAAACUAUUACUCCCCAGCGGGAUAAUGGUUCACCGCUUACAUUUUUCUUUGAAGAAUGCUUCGAAGAAAAUUCUAUGUAGAAUUCUUCGAUACUUCGUAAUGCAUAAAAGUAAGCUAUGUAGCUAAAUUCUACAGUGUUCAUAUCUACAUACAAUCAAGUAAGUACAUGAAAAACGUUACAACACAAUAUGUAAACAACAAAUACAAGUUGAUGAAAUAAAAUUUAUAAGUAAAUAUUUCCAUUAUUUCGUCAAAUCGACAAGCAUUUGCAGAAAAUUUGCAGAAAGUUGGUUGUGUUUAGGUGAGCUGCUAUUUUAAUUAAAUUUUGCUAUUUAAAAAAAAUUAAUUUUGUGUUUAAACUUUGAAUUAAAAAAUAAGAGAAUAUUCUCGAAAAAGCAUAUUAGAAUACUAAUUAAAAAUGAAGGAAUAGAUGCACUUUAAUGCGUUACUUGUUGAAUGUGUGAAAGUAGAAGACUUCACCGAAUCGGAGUAUGCUCACCAAAUUCAAAAAAGCCUCAGACUCGCAAAAGGCCGUUUCUUUAAAUAUCGUAGCCUAAAAGAAAACCAUUCCUUUUUAUACACAGAUACUUAUUUUCAUAACGAAAUAUAUACAUGCACUUUCAUAAAUAAAGCAAAAUUAAUAUGCAACCUUUUCUAUUCUGCUAUUGACCUUGGUAUAGGAGAAUUAUUCCUUAACUUUGGCACCGAAGAAUUCUUCGUCCCUAUGGUAAGCGAAAGAGGUGAUCUGUUACUUUUCGUAGGACAUCGCCGUGUUAAUUUUCCUCGGUCGGAGUAAGCGAUAUAAUCAAUCUGUAUCGUUUACCUUGUUCGCUAACCAAUGUUUACCAUAUCCCGCAGGUUCGGAUUAACUUGAAAAUUUAGGGCAAAGAGAAAAGGACAAAUUCUAGAGAUGUUGUUGAAUUUAGUAAGACAAACAAAAAAAAAAGCGAUUUUUUGAAAAUUUCAAACCCACCUAACCCCUUAAUGCUCACUAGUUAUAGAAACUAAACUCGAAAAACCGAUCAGUUUAAUAUUCGCCACUAACACGUAAAGUAUGGUUGAAUUAUUUGGAAAAUCAUUACUGAUCACUAAAGAAAAAAAUGAAUACGAUCCCACUUAUGUAGGUUAAAAAACGUUUAAUUAAUUUUAAUAAAAAAAAAUAUUUUCCGGGAGCUAUGCUCUUUUUUUUGGGAGCAAUGCUCCUUUAUUUGAGAGCUAUGCUCCUUUAUUGAAUUCUGUGUAUAUUGUAUUCUGAAUUUUACAAUUAUUUUCGCUUAACUUUAAACCUACGUUUGCCGCUGCCACGGGUAUGGAUUUUGUUGACGCUGCCCUUUCCACAGGUUGGCACUUCGCUGACGCUGCGCUUCCCACAGGUUGCCACUACAUGUGUCUCACUCUCAGCGAUUUAGUGAUUUAGUGGUGUCAUAUUAUAUUGCUUUGUAUCAUAUGAUAUUAAUGCAUCAUAUGAUACUUUUUGAAUAUGUGGGGUGCUAACUUGUAUAAUUUCAGAAAUUCGAUUAUGCGCGUAGCCGCACUCCGUUCAUAUAAUGGGGCAGGAAAUUCAUGUCUAAAAUUUUUUUCGACGUUUCUGUAUGACAUAUGACACAUAAUAUAUUCAUAACCUCUUAAGCCAUUUCAAUAGUUUAAAAUGGGUAGAAUCGGGUUUCAACUCUAAUUGCUUUUAUUUCGUUUUAAAUAUUUAUUUAUUUAUUGGCAAAUUUAGGUAUACAAAAGUGGCGUAGGCUAAUAAUUAAAAUAGGAGUUUAGACAUAAGUGUCUUAACUACUUAAUUAUAACAAUGAUUAUUAUGAUAUAUUAAACUUAAUUAUGACAAUAUAUAGUUAGAGACGAAUUGAGGAGUAAAUC